rnacentral:rRNA from 1 species
CCCUUAGAUGUUCUGGGCUGCACGCGCGCUACACUGAUGCACUCAACGAGUUUUCGACCUUGCCCGAUAGGGCUGGGUAAUCUUUUUAAAAUGCAUCGUGACGGGGAUAGAUUAUUGCAAUUAUUAAUCUUCAACGAGGAAUGCCUAGUAGGCGCAAGUCAUCAGCUUGCGUCGAUUACGUCCCUGCCCUUUGUACACACCGCCCGUCGCUCCUACCGAUUGGGUGUGCUGGUGAAAUGUUCGGAUCGGCCGUUUGUCGCGGUUUCCGCGUCAUGUGGCUGAGAAGUUCAUUAAACCCUCCCACCUAGAGGAAGGAGAAGUCGUAACA